rnacentral:rRNA from 1 species
GACGAACCGUCCAAACGUUAUUCGGUAUCACUGGGCUUAAAGGGUGCGUAGGCGGCCGAGUAAGUUGGGUGUGAAAGCCCUCGGCUCAACCGAGGAAUUGCGCCCAAAACUGCUCGGCUCGAGGGAGAUAGAGGUGAGCGGAACUUAGGGUGGAGCGGUGAAAUGCGUUGAUAUCCUAAGGAACACCGGAGGCGAAGGCGGCUCACUGGGUCUUUCCUGACGCUGAGGCACGAAAGCUAGGGGAGCGAACGGG